UACGUAUGGUGCAAGCGUUAUCCGGAUUUACUGGGUGUAAAGGGAGCGCAGGCGGUGCGGUAAGUCUGAUGUGAAAGCCCGGGGCUCAACCCCGGUACUGCAUUGGAAACUGUCGUACUAGAGUGUCGGAGGGGUAAGCGGAAUUCCUAGUGUAGCGGUGAAAUGCGUAGAUAUUAGGAGGAACACCAGUGGCGAAGGCGGCUUACUGGACGAUAACUGACGCUGAGGCUCGAAAGCGUGGGGAGCAAACAGG
rnacentral:rRNA from 1 species